rnacentral:rRNA from 1 species
GGACCAGACUCCUACGGGAGGCAGCAGUGAGGAAUAUUGGUCAAUGGGCGGAAGCCUGAACCAGCCAAGUCGCGUGAGGGAAUAAGGCCCUACGGGUCGUAAACCUCUUUUGCCGGGGAGCAAGGGCCGGGACGCGUCCCGGCCCGGAGAGUACCCGGAGAAAAAGCAUCGGCUAACUCCGUGCCAGCAGCCGCGGUAAUACGGAGGAUGCGAGCGUUAUCCGGAUUUAUUGGGUUUAAAGGGUGCGCAGGCGGAAGAUCAAGUCAGCGGUAAAAUUGAGGGGCUCACCCUCUUCGAGCCGUUGAAACUGGUCUUCUUGAGUGAGCGAGCAGUAUGCGGAAUGCGUGGUGUAGCGGUGAAAUGCAUAGAUAUCACGCAGAACUCCGAUUGCGAAGGCAGCAUACCGGCGCUCAACUGACGCUCAUGCACGAAAGCGUGGGUAUCGAACAGGAUUAGAUACCCCAGUA